rnacentral:rRNA from 1 species
UACGUAGGGUGCGAGCGUUGUCCGGAAUUAUUGGGCGUAAAGAGCUCGUAGGCGGUGUGUCACGUCGUUCGUGAAAACCUGCAGCUUAACUGUGGGCGUGCGGUCGAUACGGGCAUCACUGGAGUUCGGCAGGGGAGACUGGAAUUCCUGGUGUAGCGGUGAAAUGCGCAGAUAUCAGGAGGAACACCGGUGGCGAAGGCGGGUCUCUGGGCCGAUACUGACGCUGAGGAGCGAAAGCGUGGGGAGCAUACAGG